GUGAAUUCGGAAUUUUAUUGCUAUAGAUAAGUUCAUAUCUAACCAUUCUUAAUGAAACGGCAAAGAAAAUAAUUCGUGUGGGUCGUACGUACAAAAAUAGUGAGCAAAUACGUAAUUGCUUAAGAUAAAACAAGCGUCAAAAUGCUCCACUUUCUUGGUCCUAUUUUUGACUCUCAACAACCACUUGGUGUUUAGACGCCCUUCUUUAUGUUACAUAUUUUUUUCUAUCUCAAGGUGAUUUAAAGGCAUUUAUAUAUAUAACCCAUAUAUAUCAUAAGAUACACUAUCAAAACUGCUACUAUUGAAACUCUCGAUGACAGCAACCCAUCUAAAAAUUUAAAAAAGUUGCGACAGUCAUCAAACAUUCGUCUAACGAUCUGCUGCGAUGAACAAGCAAACACACUAACUGUUUGGCAAGCUGUAAAUUGUGUAACUGCUAGACAAGUUGAGUAUGACGAUGAUAUUGUUGGUGGAUUGCAUUAUAUACAGUCGCACCUCGUAAUGUCGGAGUCGAAGGGAUCGAAUCAAAGUAUUCGACUUAUCCGAGGUUCCACUCCUCAAAGGUCGAGUAUAUCGUCAAAAUUUGGAAUACAGGAAAUACGGUAUGAGAUUUGUGUAAACUUUAUACUUUGAACAGUGUGUCUUUCUUCGAUAUGACACUUAUAUAGUGGUUGUGUAUUCUAUCUCAUAUUUUGGGUUAUUUAUGAAAAUUAAACACAAAUACUUUUUAAAAUAGAUCCAC
rnacentral:lncRNA from 1 species